rnacentral:rRNA from 1 species
UGGGGAAUAUUGCACAAUGGGGGAAACCCUGAUGCAGCGACGCCGCGUGAGCGAAGAAGGUUUUCGAAUCGUAAAGCUCUGUCCUAUGAGAAGAUAAUGACGGUAUCAUAGGAGGAAGCCCCGGCUAAAUACGUGCCAGCAGCCGCGGUAAUACGUAUGGGGCGAGCGUUGUCCGGAAUUAUUGGGCGUAAGGGGUACGUAGGCGGUCUAUUAAGUCAGGUGUGAAAGCGUGAGGCUUAACCUCAUUAAGCACUUGAAACUGAUAGACUUGAGUGAAGGAGAGGAAAGUGGAAUUCCUAGUGUAGCGGUGAAAUGCGUAGAUAUUAGGAGGAAUACCGGUGGCGAAGGCGACUUUCUGGACUUUUACUGACGCUCAGGUACGAAAGCGUGGGGAGCAAACAGG